GAUUCGAUUCAUUCAAAUUGAACAAAAAAAACCAUUGUUCUUGUUCGGUUAAUACGGCAGUCAAUGAAUUCAACAACGACUUUUUCAACAGCAAUGGUGAUGAAAUCAUCAAAAUGUGCUUCCAAGGUGUGCUCCGGCAAAACUACACCAAUGAUCGUAUGUUUAUGGUCCCAGGUUUCCGGCAAAUGGUUAUCAAAAUUCGCAGCGAAUGGUUUCCAUGGCCAACGAACAGAUUUUUCGGCAAUACAUUCAAAUACCUACCAACCUCAAAACGCAUUGCGAACAGCGUUUGAGAAAGUUCUUCAAAAUGCGUUGCUACGAAUUGAACCACAUGUGUCUGUGUGGAGAUCUCGAGUUGGACGAAUUAUUCGAUGGUGACGACAUCAAAAAUGCCAUCAGCUACACAUACAACCGGAGAGAUUCAACGCGUAGCAAUGCAAAUGCCAUACGGAAAUUGGAAAUACUGUUGGCGGAGCUAUAUUGGAUUGGAGCACCUUACAGACCAGAUGAUCCACACCCAUUCAACAUCAAAGAAUUCUUUGAACUCAAUUGGUUCCAAGCAUUGCGCAUGUUCGUUAACAUACAGCGCGACAUUCAUUACUUUCACCUCUCGUUUGCCAAUCUACGCCAAAGUUGGAAUCUGUUCCGAAAAUAUCCGCUCUAUGUGCAAGAGCCAGAAUUUCUAGAGCCGCCUGAAAUCACCACAGUCAUUCCGAUACGAAUGCAUUGUACAAUAUUUGAUGUGGCGUCAAGGCAAUGAAGCGAGAAGAUGGUUUUCGACCGGUUGAAUUUAAAAGAAUAGGAAGCUGGCGUUUGUUUUUCAACAUGGACGAAAUCAACAAGUUAGUCAAGAAUAAGAAGGAAUUCGGCGAUUCGAUAAUAUCAGAUGGUGUGUCAGCGUCGGUGUUAUUCAGAUUGCCGAAACAGAGCAAAACCGUUGUUGAUGAAGAUGAGGCCGAAACCAAACGCAAAUAUUUCGCAAACGAAUUCGUGUAUGCAUUGGGAAUUGAUCCAGGCAUGCGAAGCUUUAUUGCGUCGGUCCGCCUCGAUCUAAAGACCGGCGAAGAGACCAACGAGAAGAUUUCGUUCAAACAAUACCACCAGAAAUCGAAGCAAGAUGCGCGCAAUAUAAAAGCCGAACGAAUGACACGAGUCUUCACGUAUGACGAACAAGCGGACCUCAAGCGUAUCGCCGCAGAGAUUGGCAAGACACCAUCGCCACGGAACAUCUCUUGGUGCCAGUACAUCGAACAUCGCCUGCGAAUGUCCCAAGAUGGUAUCGCGGCAUACAGUCAGAAAAACUAUGCACGCUUACGUUUGGACAAACACAUUGAAUGGCGUCGUGCAAUUGAUCAUCGCCGGUAAGCUGGUACAUUUUAAGACAGCUAUCAUCAACAGCCGAAAUUUCACCAAAUUGCCCGAUCCGGAUCAAAAAGUACGUGCGGUGUCCAGACGUACGCAAGCUGAUUGCAGCCUUCAAAAGACGUGGCAAUUGUGUCGUUCGGUUGGUGGAUGAAUACAUGACAUCGCAACAUUGUGCCCGAUGUUUCAAACGGUUCCCGAUAUGGACGAAGAGCAAACGAUACAAGAAGUGCAACGAUUGCCAAUCAGAUGAACGUGUUGGACUUCCGAGAACCAUCUAUACGAACGUGAGCAAACGAGUGUUACAAAUGCAACGGAAAAUCAUGCGUACAUGGAAGGAAAUGCGCGACCAAGGAUAUGCUAUUGCAGCCAUUCUAACCCAACGAAAUUCAGGACGUUUGGUGUCAAAGAAGCAACGCUUCUUCAAAUCCUGGCAACCAAAUGCUGCUGAAAACGCUGGAACAGAAGACGCUGCACAAUCACGCAAGUUGCUCAAAUCACUUUGGCAUCGGGACAUAUCAGCAGCCAAACUGAUCGUGUACAAAGGUCUUUGCACGCUACUUGGUAUUCCGAUACAUCCAGCACUGCUGCGACGACCAGAUGACGACGGCCUUCCACUCAAUCCAUAAUUCAAAAUCCAGCGUUUAGCAUUAAAGUUUUUUUAAUAAAUAUUUUCUAAAAGUUUAUUAGAGUUCUCAAGCCUUGCACUUAGUGGGCUAUUUUAAGGUAUAUAAGUUGUCUAACUUUAUUUACCGGAGUACAUGGCUGGUUUUAUAGACGUUAUUUGAUGAUCAGAAUGGGUUAUGUUCAUUUUCCGGUUUCACAAUGUCAAAUUGACAUCACGCCACCGCAUUCUUUGGAUAUGACUUGUUCAAUGCAUCAUAUCACGGUUAUGAAAAACACCCUAUUGUACAAUGUAAAAGGUAGUUAUAAAUGGGCAAAGCGAAUUAGAAUAAAUAUUGAUGAUGACACGUACACACUGUUAAUUAUUUGAUUUGAUCAUAUUCUCUGGACAGUAAUUCUAAAUUCUAUUGGUUUUUUUUUUCAAAUAUAAAACAAACGCAAAUUGCACAUUGCAAUGAUGCGCAAAAUAAUAAUUGACAAUGGAGCACCGAAAAUACAGAUACCAAAAAUUCAAAUUAAAUUUGUCAGUUUUCUCAUCACCAGAAAACGCGAAAUAUGUAUUAGUGACGGUUUGAACAUACUGUUUCUAAUAAUAAUUGAAAAAAUUGAUAUCUGUCAAUCGAUUUUAUGAUAAGAGAAGACAG